GACGAACGCUGGCGGCGUGCUUAACACAUGCAAGUCGAACGGAAAGGCCCUGCUUUUGUGGGGUGCUCGAGUGGCGAACGGGUGAGUAACACGUGAGUAACCUGCCCUUGACUUUGGGAUAACUUCAGGAAACUGGGGCUAAUACCGGAUAGGAGCUCCUGCUGCAUGGUGGGGGUUGGAAAGUUUCGGCGGUUGGGGAUGGACUCGCGGCUUAUCAGCUUGUUGGUGGGGUAGUGGCUUACCAAGGCUUUGACGGGUAGCCGGCCUGAGAGGGUGACCGGCCACAUUGGGACUGAGAUACGGCCCAGACUCCUACGGGAGGCAGCAGUCGGGAAUAUUGCACAGUGGGCGGAAGCCUGAUGCAGCAACGCCGCGUGCGGGAUGACGGCCUUCGGGUUGUAAACCGCUUUCGCAUGUGACGAAGCGUGAGUGACGGUAAUGGGUAAAGAAGCACCGGCUAACUACGUG
rnacentral:rRNA from 1 species